AGUUUGUUGAUCGCAUAUCUUUGGCACAGAGACAUGACUGAAAUACACCAAGCUGGUUUUAUAGGGCCAGUCUAUAAAUGUGCAAAGCCACCAGUCUUCUGGUAAGAGUUAGAUGAGGAAUUAUUGGUGGAUGAAUAGAAGGCAACCAGCUGAUGGGAUGAGCAGGAUGAAAUAUAAAUUGGAUGGAAUGAACGUUUGAUGAAAUACAUGAAAAAUGGAUAUGGACUGGGAAUUUAAUCAGUAAUUUAGGCUGAGGUCCUAAAUUAGUGCCAUUGAAUUCAGAACGACUUAAGGAAGCUUGG